GUCUACAGCCAUACCACCCUGAACGAGCCAGCUCUCUCUCGUCUGAUCUUGGAAGCUAAGCAGGGUCAUGCCUGGUUAGUACUUGGAUGGGAGACCACCUAGGAAGACCAGGUGCUGUAGGCA
rnacentral:rRNA from 1 species